AAUAAACCAAUUUUUUACUUUUUACCUUCAAUUUUUGACUCUUCGUUUUAUUUAAAAAAAUUUUAUGAUUGAUAUUUUUGUUUUUAUUAGAUGAUAAAUCAUGAAUAGUACUUUACGUGUGACUAAUUUUUUCUAAUUUCCUAAAAAUAUUUCAAAUAAGACGGAUGGUCACAUGUUAGACACGAAAACCAAAGAAUUCAUUUUUU
rfam:Oryza brachyantha chromosome 3, whole genome shotgun sequence.